UACGUAGGGGGCUAGCGUUGUUCGGAAUUACUGGGCGUAAAGCGCACGUAGGCGGAUUUGCCAGUCAGGGGUGAAAUCCCGGGGCUCAACCUCGGAACUGCCUCUGAUACAGCAAGUCUUGAGUCCGGAAGAGGUGGGUGGAAUUCCUAGUGUAGAGGUGAAAUUCGUAGAUAUUAGGAAGAACACCAGUGGCGAAGGCGGCCCACUGGUCCGGUACUGACGCUGAGGUGCGAAAGCGUGGGGAGCAAACAGG
rnacentral:rRNA from 1 species